UUCGUAGGUGGUUCGUUACGUCGGAUGUGAAAAUCUGGGGCUCAACCCCAGACCUGCAUUCGAUACGGGCGAGCUAGAGUUUGGUAGGGGAGACUGGAAUUCCUGGUGUAGCGGUGGAAUGCGCAGAUAUCAGGAGGAACACCAAUGGCGAAGGCAGGUCUCUGGGCCAAUACUGACACUGAGGAACGAAAGCGUGGGGAGCGAACA
rnacentral:rRNA from 1 species